AAUCAACGCUGGCGGCGUGCCUAACACAUGCAAGUCGAACGCGAAAGGGGCUUCGGCCCUGAGUAGAGUGGCGAACGGGUGAGUAACACGUGGGUGACCUACCUUCGAAUGGGGGAUAACGUCCCGAAAGGGACGCUAAUACCGCAUAACAUCCUGCCUUUGAACAGGUGGAGAUCAAAGCUGGGGAUCGCAAGACCCGGCGUUUGAAGAGGGGCCCGCGUCCGAUUAGCUAGUUGGUGAGGUAANGGCUCACCAAGGCAACGAUCGGUAACCGGCCUGAGAGGGCGGACGGUUACACUGGGACUGAGACACGGCCCAGACUCCUACGGGAGGCAGCAGUGGGGAAUUGUUCACAGUGGGCGCAAGCCUGAUGACGCAACGCCGCGUGGAGGAUGAAGGUCUUCGGAUUGUAAACUCCUGUUGCUCGGGACGAAAAGCUUCGACCUAAUACGUCGAAGUCUGACGGUACCGGGUGAGGAAGCCCCGGCUAACUCUGUGCCAGCCGCCGCAGUAAU
rnacentral:rRNA from 1 species